GAACAGGAAAUAGCCCAGCACUGAAUCCCGCCGUUGUAACGGCGGCGGGAGAUGUGGUGUUCGGGAGGUUCCGCUUUCUUGUCGUCGUCCACUCCUGUCCAAGUUCGUCUUGAACGGGGCCCAUUUCCCACAGAGGGUGCCAGGCCCGUAGCGACGGAGGACGGCGGCGAGAGGGACUCUCCUCAGAGUCGGGUUGCUUGAGAGUGCAGCCCUAAGCGGGUGGUAAACUCCAUCUAAGGCUAAAUAUUACCGCGAGACCGA
rnacentral:rRNA from 1 species